UGUCAUGUGUGAUGUCGUUGUACUAUAUCUUCUUAAGAAGAGGAAAUACUACAAGGAAGCAAAAUUUCAGAACGUAGCAAGUAAUGAGAAUGGACCGCAGAAGACAUAUGAGCUUGUACCUUGCAAGCGGACGGGGGACGUUAAAGGUCCCCAACCGACCUCACGAUUGGCAAGCAGGUAGCUUGGUUCUCACGCACACCCCAUCGGAAUGGCAUUCGAAUCUCUCAACGUAAUGAGGUAGCUGCAUUGUGCGAACAAGCCCUUGUUACAUCCCUCCCCAUCACACAGCUUAACAACAACCACCAAACACCUCCAGGAAUGGGGGGUAGCAACCACUCCCUACGCGAUGAGAUUACCCUUCCUACCACCAACGAAACCAAGAAACCCACCAGUUUGUGAUGACACGCCCAAGCAUCAAGCCUUCAAAACUAUUUUCUAUCAAACUAAAACAACAAAGUGACCAAAAUGACAUUAAACAUUUGAGAGAAAACUAGAGAUAACCAAAGGACUAUUGCCUGUCAUGUAUGUAUAUUUAUUGUUCCAUUCGUCUUCAGAAAGCGUUUCAUUACAUGGAUUUUGAGAAGAGAAGCGUGAUAAAAGCGAGAAGAUUAAACUGCAAAUGGUUGGAAUCAUCUCGCUGAUUUUACUGAUCGUUUGUUAAAUCAGGAUCCUAAAUGACAUUUGCCUAUCAAGCAGCGUAAUAAUGUUUUACCUUUAUUGAAUUAUUGUGUUGUAAGUGAGCUACCAUCGAAGAAAUUUUGCGACAGCCAUUUUGUUUGUGGCAUGAUUCGUUUGUCAACUCUAUCAAUUGUUCCUUGAGCGUGGUAAUCAAAAUAGCGAUCAAUGUGCAUUUAUCUGCUGCCGCGUCACCGAAGCCUUCAUUUUGAACCAGAACCUGAUUGAAAAUACCCUGCAAUAUUAUGUAGCUUGUAAAUACUCAAAGUUAAAGAUUAGAACAACUUGUUCCAAAUCAACGCCAUCUCCUUCUAGCGAUGCCAUAGGACAAACGGGGAGGGAGAGCACGUUACUUGAACAUGAUACACGUUUGUUGUGGAGAGAGAGAAAGUCGGUGUAGCGUUGUGAUUGGUUCACGGUAAGUAUCACGUGAAUUUUCAUCUACUCAUCAAGUGGCUGCGGUUGAAUGUUACGUGAUACUUAUGAUAAAUAUCAGGUGAUUUCAUAUUGACCUUUAUACUCGAUGAUAUGUCUCAAGAUGAAGAAAUCUUUUAUCUGGUGAAGAAGAAAAAAAUUCAGCGGGGGAAUGUAUAUAUAUGUACAUCAAUAACAUAUCGCAAUAAGCACUUUAAUAUGUGUUGCUUAGAAUUCAUAUUGUGUUAGAAGAAAAACAUGUGUAUUAGUAUUAUCGAUAAAUAAGAAAAUUAAAAUAAAAAAUUAAUGAUACUAGACAUUCAACCUCAGAAUUUUCUAGACAUUAUCAUAUUGUAUGUUGAAUUAUAGACUAGCCUAUAAAAUAGUUGUCUUCUAGAAAAAAGACAUGUUCGUUUUUUUUUUAAUUGAUAGUUAACAUUGUUAAGGUUCCAUUCACUUAUCUGUUUAUUCGUUUAUAAUACAAUAUUUCGCUUGUUUUUGUUCGUCUAAAUAUUGUAUGAAAUUAACAGACGGAACGGGAAGAUAAUACCAGCAUAUACGCCACGUUCUAGUGUGUACAUACAUAUACGGAGAUGAAACAAGUUGUUACAAUAGUCUUUCUUGUAUAUUUGAACCAAGAAACGAUAUAUAUACAUCAUGUCAGAUUAUUUACGUGUAAAGAGAAAGUUAGAUAGUAUAUGUUGAAGAAAAUAAAAUGUGUUUAUUUGUUUAUAAUGUUUCAAAGGAAGGUGUACCAAUAAUCAUUAUGAGAUAUACACUCGGCUGCUAUUUUUGAAAGAUGACGUGUAUUUAGUAAAGGAGAAUAAUAAACAUUAUUUUCAAGAAAAGGUGUUUUUUCUUCAUUCACGAAACAAGCAUGUAAAGUCCAACCCUAAAUGAAUGAUGUUUUAAUGUUUUCUUUCAUUUUCAAACUGUCACAACUACAGGGCGUCAUGAUGGGUUUUGUUGUGUGAUUUUUGUUUAAUAUCAUAUUAAGACCUGCCAUUUCUAUAGUUAUUUUCUAUUCACGUAAAUUUCGGUAGGUAUGGCAUAUCAUAAACGAAAAGAAAAAAGGGAAUCGGCAUACGGUUUAAAAACUGACUGUAAAUGCUGUAGGAUAUAGAAAUAAUAUGAUGGAGGACGACGGCUAGGGAUAUAGAUAUUGAGAAUGAUACAUGAAAGUUGUCAUUGAUCAUUAUACUUGGGACACAUCAUACAUCACUAGUAUUUUCAAUAUUUAUAUAUUAUUUCGUUUGCUCCGGACUCGAUUCUAUAAGAAAAUAUAUGCAAUACAGUUAAGUUACAUUGCCUUCCUCACUAGAAAUUAGCAAAUGUGAUCAGAUGGUACAUUUCUUGUCGAGAAUUGGUUGAAAUAAUAAAAGUAGUGUUUGUUUAAUCGUUUUAAUGCAUCGUCGAAAUACAAAUAUUAGAUAUAACGAAUUUUGACGUAUAAGUCUUGAAUAAAAAGUUAAAAUAAUAGUAAAAUUACAAGAGUUUAAAAAAGAAUUCACGGCUAAGGAUUUGUAUGAAUUACAAAUUACAAAGUUUGAACAUGACUUUUUUUUCGAGCCUUUUACGUGAACGACAUUAUUUCAUUUAAUUUCUAUUAUUGCAUUGAAGCUUCUGCAACUUAAUCACAUGAACUUACGAAGAUCACCGUGUGACAGCUCCAAUGCUAUGCAUUUCAAAUGGUUGAAAAUUUGUCUUUAAUUCAGUUGCAACCCACACAGAAAAUGUUUUUGUCUGAGGAAUGUAUUUUUAACAUCUUGAUUAAUCAAUACGUUUCUUGAAGUGUCAUAUCGGUGUCAUAAUGAUUUUCUGAGUUGAUUAAAUACUGUAGGUGAUUAAAAAAAUGUACAACUAUGAGAGUACACACUGUAUUGCUAAAUGAAUUGAAGACUUAUGCAAACGAAAUGUUGAAAUACUUAUCAUAUAUUCAUUUCAAUAUGGUCAAAUGGUAAAAUAAAACAUUGAAAAGAGGACCGAAAAGCGUUAUCUACCAUCCCUUUGUGUUCGGUUAACGCCCUCCUGGCUCUCAACUUUUCUUUGCUUGUAGUCUCUCUGUAAAAAAUCCUGUAUUGACCUAGCAUGGUUUGGAGAUAAUUCGUUAGGUGUUUGAUAUCAAAAGAUCGUCAUAAAUAAUUGUAUAACAGAUUUAAUGAUAAGUUUUCAUCCCUAAAAUAAAGCAUUAUAUUACGAAAUCUGUUUGGGCUCCCACCUCAAAUAAAACCAUCUUUCAAUUUUCAUUCUCAAAUUGGCUUAAAUUGUAUGAGACACUGUAAUUACCAGUACGUUGAGACCAUUUGUCAUUAAUAUACCAUGCUUUCUAACUCUGUGAGCUGGCAAGGUUCUCAGUAGUUAGACCGACUUCUUCAUCAAUUUACUACUGGGUCAAUGUAUUCCAAACGCCACUCCCGGCCGUGGGUACCCAUUCGCCCUCGUCAUGCGGUAUGUAUGACGGAACCAAAUAUAGCUGUGAAUCUAUAGAGCAUAUAGGUCUUGUGACAUGAAAGCCGUAUUUACGUAGGGAUAUAUUUUCAGGACCGGUUGACUCGAGUCGAAGAGAAAGUUCAGUUCCGGUAGGCUUGGAAAUAAUUAUUGAUUUUUUCUUUCUUUACCUUUUUUUUUUUUUUUUUUCAAGGGGGGAGGAGUAGAAUAUUAUGAAAGAAAAGUUGUCUCAAAAUGAUUGCUUUUCCAACCCCCUCAAUUGGCAAAAUUACGAAAAAUAGCUUAAGUGUUUUUACAAAACUUUCAUGCCACACUUGUGUAUAGUCCCAUGUACACAUUUUGUUGUGUGCAUUACAUAUGACCUUCAGCAAGACUCAGUCAUUUUCUUAUCAUCUUGAUGAUUCCAAAUUCUCUCUGUAUACAUCAAUUGUAUUUACUGCAUAAUCGGGCUUCUCCCUUUGCUUCUAAAAUGUUUCAUUUGCAAAUGACCAGGACUCAACUUUAUCUUUAAGCUUUACGUGAUCCUGAAAGAGUUUUCGUAGUCUUGUUAUCUUCCCGAAUGGAGUGACGAUAAAGAAUUAACGUCAUUUGAUUCACUUCAAUAAUCUUGUCAAUUUUUUUUGUUUUGUUGCGCAUGUAAAGAAUUUUAGAGCGUUACAGGCUAUUGGUUUUUAUUGUAAUUAUUAUGACGCAUUGAUAUAUCAACAGUUAAAGAAAGUGAUUCAUGUUAACACUUUAAGAAGGUAAUGAGUUUUGUCAAAGUUUUGUUUUUUAUCAAUUAAUGCAUUGUUGUUCAGUCGGAGGUGUAUUGCUGCGGCAGCUCGACAUACAUCAGAUAUCAUUUGUACAGGAAAUAUGUUGAUUCUUCCAUUUGAGUUUGAACCUGUUAAACGAUGUUAAGAUAUAAUUAUGAACAUGUUGAUCAUUCUUGUGCGUUUACACAGAGGUAAAAUUUAUCAUUUAGAAAGAGGCCACGUGACUAUGUUCUGUUUUAUGUGAGUUGAUACCUGGGUUCAAAAUUUUGUCAAAUUAUGCAACAGUUUGUCCACAAUAUGUGUUUUCUCGAUGCAUCUGUCUGUAUUUGUAAAACUUUAGUGUAAAGUAGCGUUAAUGAAAAACGAAUGCAGCAUUGUCUUCACAGUAGAUCUUAUCGCAUUACAUUAUUGGGAUUAUAGAUAGAUUUUUAGUAUCAAGUUAUAAUGGUACAAACUUGAAAAACAAACGUCCAUUUCAACGAAGAUUCUUGACCGGGAUUGUUUAAGAAAAUUAGUAUUUUCCGCUUCUGAUCAUUUCUCGAUUUUGAAUCAAAUAAAUAAUUGUAAAAAUUGA